rnacentral:rRNA from 1 species
UACGGAGGGAGCUAGCGUUGUUCGGAAUUACUGGGCGUAAAGCGCACGUAGGCGGCUAUUCAAGUCAGAGGUGAAAGCCCGGGGCUCAACCCCGGAACUGCCUUUGAAACUAGAUAGCUUGAAUCUUGGAGAGGCGAGUGGAAUUCCGAGUGUAGAGGUGAAAUUCGUAGAUAUUCGGAAGAACACCAGUGGCGAAGGCGACUCGCUGGACAAGUAUUGACGCUGAGGUGCGAAAGCGUGGGGAGCAAACAGG